rnacentral:rRNA from 1 species
AGCGAACGCUGGCGGCAGGCUUAACACAUGCAAGUCGAGCGGGCGUAGCAAUACGUCAGCGGCAGACGGGUGAGUAACGCGUGGGAACGUACCUUUUGGUUCGGAACAACCCAGGGAAACUUGGACUAAUACCGGAUAAGCCCUAACGGGGAAAGAUUUAUCGCCGAAAGAUCGGCCCGCGUCUGAUUAGCUAGUUGGUGAGGUAACGGCCCACCAAGGCGACGAUCAGUAGCUGGUCUGAGAGGAUGAUCAGCCACAUUGGGACUGAGACACGGCCCAAACUCCUACGGGAGGCAGCAGUGGGGAAUAUUGGACAAUGGGCGCAAGCCUGAUCCAGCCAUGCCGCGUGAGUGAUGAAGGCCCUAGGGUUGUAAAGCUCUUUUGUGCGGGAAGAUAAUGACGGUACCGCAAGAAUAAGCCCCGGCUAACUUCGUGCCAGCCGCCGCCGUAAGAC